AAGAAAUAGUGUCUUGCCUGAAAGCACCAAAAAUGAAUCCAUAAAAAUUUUUAAAAGAUUUAGGAAGAGAAAUGACUUGGGUCUGGAAAUUAUGUUUCUUCAGUGAACUAUACCAUUCCCUGGACUUAACAAGGGAGAAUAUGAUUUCCAUUAAUAUCAGUGGUUCUUAAACAGGUGGAAUGUUGUGAAUCCCUUUUAAAAUAUGAAGCACCAUUAUAGAUUAUGUCUUCCACUAAAUGCACAAAACAUAAAACUUAGUACAUAAUUUUAACUAUUUUAAAGAAUGCCUUCAUGACUCUUCUCUAUAAAUCCCACAUUCUAACUAACUCCAGACCCUGAAGUAUUAUGCAAAUAUAAAUACCAGCCUUUAGUUUUGGUUGCUUUUUUACUAAAAUAUGGUGCAGGUGAAAAUUCACUGGCUAAGAGUCAGAAGACUUGGGCUUCUGCCUCAGGUCUGCCAGAUACGCAGUGAAUCACACUGAUCCAGACUCAGUGGCAUACAGCAAUAAGAGCAUGUGUAUCUUGCAUAUCUGCAGGUCCAUUGGGGAAUGAUCAGUCUAGGCUAGAGUUAUCUGGGGAAUAUCUCUUCAUAUCUCUCUUCCUGUUUCUGAAACCAGUGAGUUAGCCUGGGCAUAUGUUUCUUCCAACAAAGACAAAAAUUUAAGCCAGCAGGCAAAAACAUAUGAAACCUCUUAACAGUCAUGCAUGGGACUUGCACGAUGGCAUUUCUGCCAAAUUCUGUGACACAAAGUAAGUCACACAGCCAAACCCAAAGUGAAAAAGUAAGGAAAUAUGCCACAUUAGUUUACUAUGCUGUAUAACAUAUGACCAAAAACAGCAACUUAAACAAAAACACACUUAUGAUCUCGUAGCUUUUGCAGGUCAAGUUUUUGAACAAGGUUUUGUUGCAUUCUCUACAAGACUGCAAUUCAAGUGUCAAGCAAGUCUCUGUUUUCAUCUGGAGACUCAACUGGUGAUGCACCCACUUCCAAACUUUCUCAGGUUAUUGACCAAAUUGAUUUCCUUGUGGCUGUAAAUCGAAGGACUUCAGUUUCUUGCUUGGUUUCUAGAUGCUGCUGGCAGUCCUUGCACAUGGGCUUCUCCAACAUGGCCAUGCUUCAUGGCAGCUUUGCUUCUUCACUGCCAGCAAUGGAGAGUGAGCCUGCAUAAAUAGCCGCUUCCUCUGGGACUGGAUGGCUAUCUGCAGAGGCGAGAGGCAGGGGCUUUCUUGACCUCUUUCAGAGAAGCCUGAGUUUAGUUCAGCCAGUGUUCACUGAGCACUUGUUAUGCACCAGACCCUCUGAUAGGCAAUGCUGGAGACAGAGAUGAAUAGGACACAGCUUCUGCCCUCAAGGAGGCCACAGGUUUAUAAACAUCCCUAGAGGCUUCAGAAGGAGCUGGCACUGCCAACAACUUGAUUUCAGACUUCCAGCCACCAGAACUCUGAAAGAAUAAACUUCCAUUAUUUUCAGCAGGCAGCCCUAGGAAACAAGUAUAUUUGAUGACCAGAUAUUUUUCCUUCAUUCCUGGUUGCCCAUCGUCAGUCUCCUUUCCUGGUUCCUACUAAUUUCCCUUACUAUUAAAUAUUGGAGUAUUCCAGGUAGAAGACUUUGAACCGUUUUUAACUCUACUGUAGCAUACUUGCUACAUACUUAUUAGAUCCAGGACCUUGGCUUCAACAGCAUUUAUGCGGUGAUGCAUUCUCAUUGUAAAUUUAAGGCAUACUUAGUAUG
rnacentral:lncRNA from 1 species